rnacentral:rRNA from 1 species
UACGGAGGGUGCAAGCGUUGUCCGGAUUUAUUGGGUUUAAAGGGUGCGUAGGCGGCCUUUUAAGUCAGUGUGAAGACCCAUAGCUCAACUAUGGAACUGCCAUUGAUACUGAAAGGCUUGAGUACAGACGAGGUUGGCGGAAUGGAUGGUGUAGCGGUGAAAUGCAUAGAUACCAUCCAGAACUCCGAUUGCGUAGGCAGCUAACUAGGCUGUAACUGACGCUGAGGCACGAAAGCGUGGGGAGCAAACAGG